rnacentral:rRNA from 1 species
CCCCCCCAGUUGCUACUAAGGUCGGGGACAACCACUGGAAACGGUGGCUAAUACCGGAUGUGCCGAGAGGUGAAAGAUUAAUUGCCUAGAGAUGAGCUCGCGUCUGAUUAGCUAGUUGGUAGUGUAAGAGACUACCAAGGCGACGAUCAGUAGCUGGUCUGAGAGGAUGAUCAGCCACACUGGGACUGAGACACGGCCCAGACUCCUACGGGAGGCAGCAGUGGGGAAUUUUCCGCAAUGGGCGAAAGCCUGACGGAGCAAUACCGCGUGAGGGAGGAAGGCUCUUGGGUUGUAAACCUCUUUUCUCAGGGAAGAACAAAAUGACGGUACCUGAGGAAUAAGCAUCGGCUAACUCCGUGCCAGCAGCCGCGGUAAUA